AUUGAACGCUGGCGGCAUGCCUUACACAUGCAAGUCGAACGGCAGCACGGGAGCAAUCCUGGUGGCGAGUGGCGAACGGGUGAGUAAUAUAUCGGAACGUGCCCAGUCGUGGGGGAUAACGUAGCGAAAGCUACGCUAAUACCGCAUACGAUCUACGGAUGAAAGCGGGGGAUCGCAAGACCUCGCGCGAUUGGAGCGGCCGAUAUCAGAUUAGCUAGUUGGUGGGGUAAAAGCUCACCAAGGCGACGAUCUGUAGCUGGUCUGAGAGGACGACCAGCCACACUGGAACUGAGACACGGUCCAGACUCCUACGGGAGGCAGCAGUGGGGAAUUUUGGACAAUGGGCGCAAGCCUGAUCCAGCAAUGCCGCGUGCAGGAUGAAGGCCUUCGGUUGUAACUGCUUUGUACGGAACGAAACGGUGAGCUCUAAUAAAGCUUGCUAAUGACGGUACCGUAAGAAUAAGCACCGGCUAACUACGUGCC
rnacentral:rRNA from 1 species